UUUUUUUUUUUUUUUUUUUUUUUUUUUUUUUGGUGGCGGUGGCGGUUGGGUGCGUUGCAAAAAUGAAGGAUGCGGGACGCAGCUCUCUCUUGGAACCGAACGCAGUGGAUAAACUGAUUGUGCAAGAGAGAAGGAAGAAGGAAGCUUUUUCUUGUGAGACCUGGAUCUUAACACAAAGGUGUAUAUGUGCACACAGGGAGCCUUGAAAAAUGAAAUAAAGCAGUGUCAGACCCACGGGAGUUGAUGUGUUCGGACAUAAAUAAAUAAUAAUAAAACAGCUUGCCCCCCCCCCCCAAAGGAUGAUUGGAAAUGGAGAACGGAGAAGCCACAAAGGAAAAGUAUGUUCAUUUUUUUCUAUAAAGGAGGAAGUAAGCCAAGGAGAUAUUUUUGGAAUGAAAAGUUUGGGGCUUUUUUUAGGAAAGUCAAGACUUGACAUGGUGGUGGUGUUUUCUUUUUCUUUUUGAAUUUCCCACAAGAGGAGAGGGAAUUAAUAAUACAUCUGCAAAGAAAUUUCAGAGAAGAAAAGUUGACCGUGGCAGAAUGAGGCAUUGAUUGGGGGAGAGAAACCAGCAGAGUACCGUUGGAUUUGUGCCUGUGUUGACUAAAAUUGACGGAUAAUUGCAGUUGGAUUUUCUUCAGCAACCUCCUUCCCCCACCCCCCUCUUUUUUUUUUUUUUUUUUUUUUUUUNUUUCCUUUUUGGUGUCAAGAUCAUGCGUUUUCGCUUGCUCUUAACCACCUGGAUUUCCAUCUGGAUGUUGCUGUGAUCAGUCUGAAAUACAGACUGUACUUGUGGCAUAUGCAAGUUCCCUGGCUAGGGGUGGAAUCAGAGCUGAAGCUGCUGGCCUACACCACAGCCACAGCAAUGCGGUAUGCUCCAAGCCUCGUCUGUGACCUAUACCCCAGUUCGUGGCAACGCUGGAUCCUUAACCCACUGAGAAAGGCCAGGGAUCGAACCCACAUCCUCAUGAAUCCUAGCCAGAAAGGAGGGAAGGAAGGAAGGAAGAAGAAAGAAAACACUUGCAUAAUGUGUGUUGAUUCGUCUUCUCUGCUCAGCCAGUAGAAAUCUUCUGACUUGUUGCUGUCAAUUCCAGGACAUUUUGGCCUCCCUCUAAAGACUUAGCCAUCUCUCAUAUAAGUGAAGUUGACAGACAAAUGGCCUUGGUAUAAAUGAGAUUUUACCGAAAUAUUUUGUAUGUUAUGUGGCAAGCAAUUCUUCAUCAAGUGCUUUUCAAUUCAAGGCUAGAGCAACUCAGUAACAAGCAUGGGACAGAUUCUACUCUUUCCACUGUAGGAGUGAGGAGACUAAGGUUUAGAGAGACCAGGUAGCCUGCAGGAAGUCACACAGCUCAAGAGCAGAUGCAUUGAGUUUCCUCUCGCUUGCUUAGACACUCUGUGGGUUAGUCAUUAUUGCACCAAACAAAUUACUUUGCAUAAUUUUUAAAAGUAGUUCUCUCAGAAGUUAUAAAUAGUGUUUGGGUGGUUUUCAUAUAUCUAGACUAUUGAGACAGAGCAGAGAACUGAGUAUUUAUCACCCUUGCUAUAUUGAAACUUGAGAGGAAUAGCUAGAAUUAUCAUGAAAGUUUUAGGAAAUUUCUUAUGUUUUUCAAAUAUGUUAGGCCUAUUCUCUCACAGGGUUUUUGCACUUACCUUUUCUGCCUGAAAUGUUCUAGAGCAGGCAGCUUUAUGGCCCAGCCCCGACUGCCUCAGAGUUGGGCUCGAAAGUCACCUCAUGAGGGAGAUCUUGCUUGACCACUAAUGUAGAAGUACAACCCUAUCUUCAUGCUCCCUACCCUUCUUCCCUGCUUACGUGUGUCCAAAGUAUUUGUCAUCUCAAAUGCCAUAGAGUUUACUCAUUUCUUCAACAUAAACUUUCAGAGGCGAGGUAUUUUGUUUGUUGUAUUCACUGGGGUCUCCUUGGUUCCCAGAAGAAAGCAUAUGGUAGGCAUUCUGUGAAUGUAGUGGAAUAGUUAAUGAAAAGUGCAUCCAUGUGCAUACGUGCAUGAAAACGUGUAUAAUUUAAGAAACUGUAUGAUGUGUCACACUUAAAAAAAAAAGGUAAGUGGUACAGGCAAAUCUAAAAAUGAUAUGGCACAAGGAAAUUAUGCUAAAAUCUAAAAGUGAUAUAGCAAGGAAAUUAUGAAACAGAGAUAUGUAAUCUCCUUUCUUCAUUAGCCUGGUCAGUGGAUUCUUGAGCCUUGCUCACAGGGCCAUCUUCAGAGAAGUGUGGAAAUGAGUGGCAAGUGGUUCAAACCUUACUGGCUCACUAUAUUCUGCUCACUCCCGGUACAUGACACCCUAUUUACUUCACUUAGACCUUCCGGGCUCUUGUUCUCUUACAUCCAUCAAAAUGGAUGUUUUCUCUUACAUCCAUCAAAAUCUGUUUUCAAAUCCUUACUUUAACUAAAGUGCAAACAACUAU
rnacentral:lncRNA from 1 species